rnacentral:rRNA from 1 species
UACGGAGGGAGCUAGCGUUGUUCGGAAUUACUGGGCGUAAAGCGUACGUAGGCGGUUAUUCAAGUCAGAGGUGAAAGCCCGGGGCUCAACCCCGGAACUGCCUUUGAAACUAGAUAGCUAGAAUCUUGGAGAGGUCAGUGGAAUUCCGAGUGUAGAGGUGAAAUUCGUAGAUAUUCGGAAGAACACCAGUGGCGAAGGCGACUGACUGGACAAGUAUUGACGCUGAGGUGCGAAAGCGUGGGGAGCAAACAGG